UACAGAGGGUGCGAGCGUUAAUCGGAAUGACUGGGCGUAAAGGGCGAGUAGGCGGGAUGACAAGUGAGGUGGUAAAGACAUGGGCUUAACCUAUGGGUGACACUUUAGACUGUUAUUCUAGAGAGCGGGAGAGGGGAGUGGAAUUUCCGGAGGAGCGGUGAAAUGCGUAGAUCUCGGAAGGAACACCGGUGGCGAAGGCGACUUUCUGGCCUGCAUCUGACGCUGAGGCGCGAAGGCGUGGGGAGCAAACAGG
rnacentral:rRNA from 1 species